GCGGACGUGGCGGAACUGGCAGACGCGCAGGAUUUAGGAUCCUGUCCUAGUGAUAGGGUGAGAGUUCGACCCUCUCCGUCCGCACCA
rnacentral:tRNA from 1 species